UACAGAGGGUGCAAGCGUUAUUCGGAAUUAUUGGGCGUAAAGCGCACGUAGGUGGUCUUGUAAGUCUGGUGUGAAAUCCCUGAACUCAAUUCAGGAAGUGCAUUGGAUACUGCGAGACUAGAGAAUGGGAGAGGUGAGCGGAAUUCCUGGUGUAGAGGUGAAAUUCGUAGAUAUCAGGAGGAACACCAGUGGCGAAGGCGGCUCACUGGUCCGGUACUGACGCUGAGGAGCGAAAGCGUGGGGAGCGAACAGG
rnacentral:rRNA from 1 species